rnacentral:rRNA from 1 species
CGGGUGAGUAAUAUAUCGGAACGUACCUUAUCGUGGGGGAUAACGCAGCGAAAGCUGCGCUAAUACCGCAUACGCCCUGAGGGGGAAAGCGGGGGACCGUAAGGCCUCGCGCGAUUAGAGCGGCCGAUAUCUGAUUAGCUUGUUGGUGGGGUAAAAGCCCACCAAGGCGACGAUCAGUAGCUGGUCUGAGAGGACGAUCAGCCACACUGGGACUGAGACACGGCCCAGACUCCUACGGGAGGCAGCAGUGGGGAAUUUUGGACAAUGGGGGCAACCCUGAUCCAGCAAUGCCGCGUGAGUGAAGAAGGCCUUCGGGUGUAAAGC